CCUACGGGAGGCUGCAGUGGGGAAUCUUGCACAAUGGGGGAAACCCUGAUGCAGCGACGCCGCGUGAGUGAUGAAGCCCUUCGGGGUGUAAAGCUCUUUCGGCAGGAACGAUAAUGACGGUACCUGAAGAAGAAGCUGCGGCUAACUACGUGCCAGCAGCCGCGGUAAUACGUAGGCAGCGAGCGUUGUUCGGAGUUACUGGGCGUAAAGCGUGCGUAGGCGGUUUUCUAAGUCUGGUGUGAAAUCUCCCGGCUCAACUGGGAGGGUGCGCCGGAUACUAGGAGGCUGGAGUACCGGAGAGGUAGGCGGAAUUCCUGGUGUAGCGGUGAAAUGCGUAGAUAUCAGGAGGAACACCUGUGGUGUAGACGGCCUGCUGGACGGUGACUGACGCUGAGGCACGAAAGCGUGGGGAGCAAACAGGAUUAGAUACCCCUGUAGUC
rnacentral:rRNA from 1 species